ensembl:snRNA U6 U6 spliceosomal RNA
GUGCUUGCUUCAGCAGCACGUAUACUAAAAUUGGAACAAUACAGAGAAGAAUAGCAUGGCCCCUGUGCAAGGGUGACAUGCAAAUACAUGAAGCAUUCCACGCUUAA